UACGUAGGGUGCAAGCGUUGUUCGGAAUUAUUGGGCGUAAAGGGCGCGUAGGCGGUGCGGUAAGUCUGUAGUGAAAUCUCUGGGCUCAACUCAGAGUCUGCUGCAGAAACUGCCGUGCUUGAGUGUGGGAGAGGUGAGUGGAAUUCCCGGUGUAGCGGUGAAAUGCGUAGAUAUCAGUCGGAACACCGGUGGCGAAGGCGGCUUCUUGGGCCCUACCUGACGCUGAGGCGCGAAAGCCAGGGGAGCGAACGGG
rnacentral:rRNA from 1 species